rnacentral:rRNA from 1 species
GGUGGCGAGUACAGCGGCGGACGGGUGAGUAACACGUGGGUAAUCUGCCCUCUGGCGGGGGACAACAUUCCGAAAGGGAUGCUAAUACCGCAUAAGUCACCAGAGACUGCGGUCUCUGGUGGGAAAGCUGGCCUUCGGGCUGGCGCCAGAGGAGGGGCCCGCGUCGCAUCAGCUAGAUGGUGAGGUAAUGGCUCACCAUGGCUCAGACGCGUAGCUGGUCUGAGAGGAUGAUCAGCCACACUGGGACUGAGACACGGCCCAGACUUCUACGGAAGGCAGCAGUAGGGAAUAUUGGACAAUGGGCGAAAGCCUGAUCCAGCCAUCCCGCGUGAGUGAUGAAGGCCCUCGGGUCGUAAAGCUCUGUGGGAAGGACGAAAAAAUGCGUGUUAAUACCACGUGUCUUGACGGUACUUCCUUAGCAAGCACCGGCUAACUCCGUG